rnacentral:lncRNA from 1 species
AUGUGGAGGCUCAUCCUGCCCCCUCAGGAGGGCUCUGAUGGGAGGCUGGGGGUGCUGAGGCAGCUGGGGGUGCUGGGGGGUCUGAACCCCAUUAUGUCUCUCUGGUGCUGUCCUGACGCCUUGUGGGGUGGUGGGUGCCUACAGACCCCAGGGCCAGGCUGUCCUGUCCUGGUAGAGGUGGCAACAGUGGCAGUGGUGGCAGUGGUGACAGGAGAGCCCCUGGGCUGUGUCCCCCAUAAAUCAGGUUCACCGUGGCACUCACCUGGCCUCAGAGGAAUGCCAGCCCAUGGUGCCACCUCAUGUCCCCAGCAUGUUCCACCCUUGCUGGGGAACUCUGAGCAGGGGGUGGGUGGCUCUGCUGAGUGUGUGGGCACAGGGGGAGAGAGGAUGUGGGGGUUGGCAGAGCCCACUAACCCUCUGCACCCUCCAGCUGGGUCCAGGAGUUCCUCAACGAGGAGAACAAGGGGCUGGACGUGCUGCUGGAGUACCUCGCCUUUGCCCAGUGCUCUGUCGCGUACGUCCCCAGCGGGUCCCCUGUCCCCAGGGCUGGGGCUAAGCAGAACAUCCCCAACAUCCCUGAGGGUACCCCAUACUGGGGUGCCACAUCUCACCCGUCCCCAUGUCCCCACGGGCCACCAGGUACGACAUGGAGAGCGCAGAGAGCAGCCCCGGCUCCGACAAGGGCAAGGAGCGGUCGCUGGAGGAUCUGAACAAAAGCUCGUCCCCCACGCAGGGCUCCUCCAAGGCGCGGCCCCUCACUGUGAGGUAACUGUGCCACCGUCCCCGCUGUCCCCUGUCCUUGUCCCCUGUCCCUGUGUCCCGCUCUCGCCUCGCUGCACCCCGGCCGCACCGCGCUUGGAGAGGGGCUUGGCAGGGGGACUCAGGCCCGCUCCUAGAAAUGGGCACCCAUCGCUGGUGGGAGGGUGGGGACAAAGCCACAUCCCCCGUGUGUCCCCAGGGUCCGCGACCGUGCUCGGGUCAAACCCCAGGAACAGAAAAAAAUUUGGCGUGUUGGAGAUUUUGGGGCAGCAAAUCGCAGCCCCCCGGUUUAAAGCCGGGCAGAGGGACGGGCCUGUGUCCCCCCAAGCCGGUCCUGGUGGCUGGUGGCUCUCGCUUGGUGCCCCCUCUAACCCCGCUCUUCUCUUGCACGCUGCCGGGGACGCGCUGACGGUAGGUGACGGGGCACUGGCGGGAUGGGGACACCCCACGGGACCCCGCUGCUGGUCACCGGUACCGGGGACAGGACCUGCGGGGCAUCCCCGGUGGGCGGGGGGUCCCAGGGACACCCCACCGCGGUCACCCCACGAGCUGUAA